rnacentral:rRNA from 1 species
CGCGUAGGCGGCUAGGUAAGUCCGACGUGAAAUCUGGAGGCUCAACCUCCAGCGGUCGUUGGAAACUACUUGGCUAGAGUCCGGAAGAGGAGAGUGGAAUUCCUGGUGUAGCGGUGAAAUGCGCAGAUAUCAGGAAGAACACCGAUGGCGAAAGCAGCUCUCUGGGACGGUACUGACGCUGAGGCGAGAAAGCGUGGGGAGCGAACGA